rnacentral:tRNA from 1 species
UGUCAGAUAGCUUAACUGGUAGAGCUCUUGGCAAGUGUAACUAAAUGAUCCGGGUUCGAGUCCCGGUCUGGGCUGCAA